CCGCACCCCGCCCCAACGACGCCGCCGCCACCGCGCCGCCCACCCUGCGCCGCCCCAACAUCACUCCCCGCCACCACCCACCACGUUCCUCCUGCCGCCACACCAGGCCCCCACAAUCGCCCCACCUUCUUCUAACCGCCGCCAUGUAACACCACCUCUGGCCCGAUCCACCUUGGUCCUGGGCGCCGCUGCCGGCCGUGGAUACCAAGCGACGCCCCCUGUAAUUAGGUCGCGCCCGCCGCCGCCAGGGUCCCCGACUGAAGACGAGAAAGCCGUGGAUCCAGGUGUCGGCGCUGCCGCCUACCUCUGAUCCCACCGGCCAUAGUCGGGGUCCCCGACUGAAGGUGAGCAACCUCGCUGCCAACCUCCUCACGGAGCCUCCUCCCUUCUGGGGACACACCCAUCGCCGUGGCGCUCAGGCUGUUCACCGCGACUAGCUCCGGCCGUUCAACCACACGGAGCUCUCAGAUGUUCACCGCUUCAGCGCCGAAAGCCCAGCCAUCCAGGGAUAUCAGCCAAACUCCACACCUCACCGCCCCCUGCAUCACCUCCUCUGCCCUAAAGAACUGCCCCCGUCCUCCCUCCUGCUCACCGCCGUGCGCUCGGCCGCCGGACUGCACCCAGUCGCCAACACGGACUGCUCCGACUACUUCAGCUCCGGAAAGUUGCCUCUACGGGCUCCGCCUACACGAGUGUUGAUUUUGGAACGCUUGAUCAAACCACCACGGAGCAACGGGCUGUUUUGUUACUGGAAAUUAACCAUGCAGGGACCUGUCCAUCCAUCAAACCGCAACCGCUCCUGGUCUGGUCACCGUCAACACACGCCACCGCGACGCAUCAUGCCACCACACACCGCCAUGGCCUACUGUUGCCAGGACCGCACGUCGUAGUCCCUAUCCGGGGCAAAAAAAAUGUUCUACAACAUAACGCAUGGAUGAAUGAGAGAAGUUCCGCUAUAAUCGGAGUAUUAUUCUUCAGAGCUCAGAUAACUAAAUGUUCGGGCACUGAAACCUGAUGGCCUCAAGCUUGUAAAAUGCUAUUCAGAAGUUCAAGGAGGACCCAAAGACAAAUAAAAGAGCAUCAUGUCCUGGG